UGUAUUGCAAUUGAUUAGAGAGAGUUGAAGAAAUGAUACAUUCUACAAUGAUUCUAUUUGGUCCCCUCUAAAGUUAAAAAGUUCUACAUAAUUGUUAUUAGACGAACUUUGCUUUGUGACAUUGAGUAUUGGAAUAUCAAACCACAGCAGAAAUGAAGAUGCUAGCAUAGGAUAGAAUAAGAAUUCGGAAUAUUUGGCCACAAGUGUAGCAACAGGAAUUGAGAAUCAAUGACGGGAAUGAAGAAUUUGUUUUUUGAGACAAGUUGCAUAGACCUAAAAAAGAUUCGAUUCACAACAAUGUGCAAUCACAUAAUAAAUAAGUUAGAGAGAAAAAAAAUCACUUCUUGAUUUCAUUGGGUAAUUCAGUAAAUUUAGUGAUGCAUCAAAUGAAAAGGUGAAAAACAUUUAUGUGGCCAUCCCCAAACCUUGUUGAGCAUAAGGAUUAGUGUUUUUGUUGUUGAUAGUUUGCAUAGAAUAUUGUUCAAAAAGUAGCAGAUAUAUUAUCUUGAUUUUUAAUCUAAUCUAUUUCUCUAUUCAGAUUUUCCAGUUCCAUCAGAAAACAGCUUGUCCGUUGGCAUUAUAAUUGGGAUAGUGAUUGCUGUUCUAUUUAUAGUCUUGCUGGUUCUGAGUAUUUUUUGGUGGAAGGGCUGCUUCAGACCAAAAGAUACUCUAGAACAAGAUCUAAAGGGUCUAGGCCAACACACUGGAAUAUUUACUCUAAGGCAAAUUAGAGCUGCCACAAACAAUUUUGAUCCUGCCAAUAAAAUCGGAGAAGGUGGUUUUGGUCCUGUGUACAAGGGCCGUUUGUCAAAUGGAACCAUCAUUGCCGUGAAGCAGCUUUCUUCCAAAUCAAAGCAAGGGAACCGUGAAUUCGUGAAUGAAAUAGGCAUGAUUUCUGCCCUACAACACCCUCAUCUCGUAAAGCUAUAUGGAUGCUGUAUUGAAGGCAACCAGCUGUUGCUUAUCUAUGAGUACAUGGAGAACAACAGCCUUGCACGUGCUUUAUUCAGUAAAGAAAAAUUCCAAUUAAU